AUUGAACGCUGGCGGCAUGCCUUACACAUGCAAGUCGAACGGCAGCACGGGUGCUUGCCCCUGGUGGCGAGUGGCGAACGGGUGAGUAAUACAUCGGAACAUGUCCUGUAGUGGGAGAUAGCCCGGCGAAAGCCGGAUUAAUACCGCAUACGAUCCACGGAUGAAAGCGGGGGACCUUCGGGCCUCGCGCUAUAGGGUUGGCCGAUGGCUGAUUAGCUAGUUGGUGGGGUAAAGGCCUACCAAGGCGACGAUCAGUAGCUGGUCUGAGAGGACGACCAGCCACACUGGGACUGAGACACGGCCCAGACUCCUACGGGAGGCAGCAGUGGGGAAUUUUGGACAAUGGGCGAAAGCCUGAUCCAGCAAUGCCGCGUGUGUGAAGAAGGCCUUCGGGUUGUAAAGCACUUUUGUCCGGAAAGAAAUCCUUGACUCUAAUACAGUCGGGGGAUGACGGUACCGGAAGAAUAAGCACCGGCUAACUACGUG
rnacentral:rRNA from 1 species